rnacentral:rRNA from 1 species
AACGAACGCUGGCGGCAGGCCUAACACAUGCAAGUCGAACGCUCCGCAAGGGGAGUGGCGCACGGGUGAGUAACACGUGGGAACCUACCUUCUGGUACGGAACAACCAAGGGAAACUUUGGCUAAGACCGUAUACGACCUCCGGGUGAAAGAUUGAUCGCCGGAAGAGGGGCCCGCGUCCGAUUAGGUAGUUGGUGAGGUAACGGCUCACCAAGCCUUCGAUCGGUAGCUGGUCUGAGAGGAUGACCAGCCACACUGGGACUGAGACACGGCCCAGACUCCUACGGGAGGCAGCAGUGGGGAAUAUUGGACAAUGGGCGCAAGCCUGAUCCAGCCAUGCCGCGUGAGUGAUGAAGG